rnacentral:lncRNA from 10 species
ACCAUUGCCUCCUGGGGGCUCAGCCAGCCCCCUCCCCUCAGGGAGAGACAGGAGGAAGUUGGGGCUUCCUACUGAGCUCGUCUGUAAGGCCUCCAGGCCUGUGCCGGACCGCCACGGCCUUCCUCUCAGCAGCUGAGCAAACUCCUAUACAGCCUGCAAGGGCCCUUCUUGUUGAAUGGAUUACAGGAGUGUCUGUCUGGAUGCUGUUGAAAGGACACUGGACAGGACUCAGGGGACCCACAG